ACGAGAGACGUGGUUUGAGUUCAAAUUAUUCGGUUUAGUGGAACAUGGUUUAGCCGUUUCGACCGUGAUGAUAUUGAGAUGCUUCACGGAUUUGCUUGUUGUCAAGUUUGUAAAUGGGCGGGAUUGGAAACUGACAUGGUUGAAGAACAGACGAGCUAAGCGAAGAAAAGAAAAUCGUGCAGGCAAUUCAAACCCUGCUGCUAGUUUUCUUUGACAGUUUUCAGCAUCUCUGCUGCUUUGGAGAUGUUCCUUACCCAAACAACUCAGUGAUGGCGAGAGAUGCACGAAUGUACGUUACAAGCCGUUGCCAGGAGAGCUCUCGGAGCAGAUGUCACGCAGUGUCGGUCACAAAUAAAUCCCGGCCCAUAUACUCCUUAGUUUUAUUUUGGUUGUUCAUAAAAUGUCGAACUCGACAGCAACAUUAGAGUUAUUAUUGAUGAUAAGAAUGGGCAAAACUGUUUCAAUACCCAUACACGUAACACAAACCUUUGUCAUCAACCUGUAAAAAAUUGUGAGAGUUCUUUUUUUCCCGAAAACGGGGGUAACAUCUCAGAAAAUUGCGUCUCAUACGGUGAAGCAUAACAUCAUCCACUGAAGAAGAUUCGCGGUCUGGAAACAUCUCAAUUGACAUCUGAAGAGACUACAUCGUGACACAGAUGAUAUACUUCGUUAUAAUGAGUCCUUAAUCCGCUCUCGCAAUCAUUCAUCUCGUCCCUUACUACUUAACGUAUUUAAAUGAGGGAGGGUGAGCGGAUGCAGACACUUAAGGGAAAUUUAAUAUCGUUGUUCUAAUCGUUACGGACAUUUUGCUUUCUCAAUUUUACACAGGGUUCAAGUAAUCGCGAACUUUCAUUUUUAUUUUCCUAGAUUUAAAGUAAACAAACGCAAGUUAAAGCUACGUCAAUAAAGAAAGCAAUUUCAAAUUGCGUUCGAUAAAAUGUGUAAAGGUUAGCGUAUUUAAUUUAAGCACCACAAUCUACAAUGGAAAAAAAUUUAAAACUUUGGCUUGAUUUCACAAGUUAAAAUCAGAGGUUUGUAAAACUUAAAAGACCUCGUGAAAUUAAAAAAAUCAGUUUAUGGCAGAAGCUCCCGGAAAAGGCUCAACAUUAAAGAGUCUCUUUGGUUCAUAUCUUUAUUUUGAUCCGUCAUAAACAUCAGUUAAUAUUUAUUGAUAUCAGCCUUCAGUAUUUAGCGAGUCUUCUGUCCUAAAAAUUGAUGGCCGUUGAUUCCUUUUUCGACAUCAUAACAGAGUUUCCUCAAAAUCAAUAUCGUCACCUAUUCAGAUCUCGGUUGUCUCACUCUUUUCUCACCAGAAAACAUGUUUUUCGCUCACAGUAUAUUCACAACAAAUCUGCACGAUUUCUCUCUCGGUGGCCUAACACCUAGUCACGUUAUCACUGAAAAGUUUGUUACACUUCUAGAGCUUUGACUUAACUACAUCCACGAAACACGUUAAAAAAAAAAAAAAAAAA